GACGAACGCUGGCGGCGUGCUUAACACAUGCAAGUCGAACGGAAAGGCCCUGCUUUUGUGGGGUGCUCGAGUGGCGAACGGGUGAGUAACACGUGAGUAACCUGCCCUUGACUUUGGGAUAACUUCAGGAAACUGGGGCUAAUACCGGAUAGGAGCUCCUGCUGCAUGGUGGGGGGUGGAAAGUUUCGGCGGUUGGGGCUGGACUCGCCGCUUAUCAGCUUGUUGGUGGGGUAGUGGCUUACCAAGGCUUUGACGGGUAGCCGGCCUGAGAGGGUGCCCGGCAACAUUGGGACUGAGAUACGGCCCGGCCUCCUCCGGGAGGCAGCGGUGGGGAAUAUUGCACAAUGGGCGGAAGCCUGUUGCAGCACCGCCGCGUGCGGGAUGACGGCCUUCGGGUUGUAACCCGCUUUCGCCUGUGACGAAGCGUGAGUGACGGUAAUGGGUAAAGAAGCACCGGCUAACUACGUG
rnacentral:rRNA from 1 species